GUUGAAUUCAGGAUGUAACACAACAUAAUGUGGAAUAAGUCGAGGGGUAUGAAUACUUCCUGAAUGCACUGUAGCUAUUUGAUAAUGUCCAUGUGCAUGUGCAAAUAUUAACGCAGACUGGAAUCCGACACGGUUUCAAUGGAACUAUCAAAACAAGUCAGACAAACGUCAACCCUCAACAUGUCAACAGCGCGUAUGGGCACGGUUUAGAUGAGACUCAUCUCUUGACAGGGCAGGCAGUGUGCAGCCGCGUUCGGCUGCACGUAUCACCCUCUGAAGAGCCUUGCGGUC
rnacentral:lncRNA from 1 species